CACCGCGGAUGAAGAGGAAGAAGAAAGCGUCAGCGUUGAGCCGCUGGGCGAGGGCGAGGGCGAGCCGGGCGAGGAA
rnacentral:tRNA from 1 species